GUUCAAGUAGUUUAAUUUUAAAAUUUUAGUUUGUGAUACUGAAGAUAUAGUAGUGUUUUGGACA
rnacentral:tRNA from 1 species